GCUGAGACCAGGCGGGUGGCCAGCGACCUGAUCUGUUGUUCGGUGUCGAAAUGAACUGAAGAACGUUCCAGGCCGUUCCCGCGGUCC
rnacentral:tRNA from 1 species